UCCGUAGCGGCGAGCGAAAUGGGAGCAGCCUAAACCGUGAAAAUGGGGUUGUGGGAGAGCAAUACAAGCGUUCACCACGUCAAGGUGACACUCUACCGCUGAGUUAUAUCCCUUCCCCGUCCCAUCUAAAUUCUAUAUUUAUAGAUAAUGUAAUCCUUCUUAAAAAAAUCCUUAUUUUUACUCUUAUUGAAUCGGCGUCUGAUUAGCUAGUUGGUGAGGUAAUAGCUUACCAAGGUGAUGAUCAGUAGCUGGUCCGAGAGGAUGAUCAGCCACACUGGGACUGAGACACGGCCCAGACUCCUACGGGAGGCAGCAGUGGGGAAUUUUCCGCAAUGGGCGAAAGCCUGACGGAGCAAUGCCGCGUGGAGGUGGAAGGCCUACGGGUCGUCAACUUCUUUUCUUGGGACACCAACUCCUCGCCUGUCACCUGCCUCUAGAACCAAUGAACCACCAUAGCAGCCAUCAAAGGAAAAAAAUGACGGA
rnacentral:ncRNA from 1 species